rnacentral:lncRNA from 1 species
AGCCUGAUGGAGGAUAACAUAUUCUCCUCUAAUUUGUAUAGUAUAUGAAAGUUUACAGGUUUUUUUGUGGAGUGGGAAGAUGGUUUUUUUUUUUUCCUCUUCUUCUGACCUUAGUAUAUUUUUUAAAGGUCUUAAGCCAAGGGAAUUAAACUAAUAUUUAUUAAGGACUGCCAUCUGUACUCGGUAAUUUACAUCUUUUUUUUAUUUGAUUUUCACAACAUAUCUGUGUAGUAGGGGGUAGGUAUGUGUAAUCUCAGUUUUACAGACUAGGAAACUGAGAAAUUAAACUGCUGUGAUUAGCCAGUGAUAAACACAACCAGUAAAUGAGAAAGCUUGGACUUGAAGGUAAACCCAACUCUGCCUCUCAACUAGAUAAGUGGUUAAAAAACUCAGUUUGUUAUAGUUCAUAUGUUUUUAAAUGGUGGAGCUGGUAUCUCUUCAGAAAGAACUUCAGUGGAUAAAAUAAGUGAACUUACCUUUACGCAUUAAAACCUAUAGCAAAUUUCCAACAUCUGAGCACUAAAAACAAAGAGAUUAUCUCAUCAACUAAGGAAGAAAUUGGCGGAAGUGUAUGAAAGGCACAUCAAUGCAGAAUUAUUUUAACUGACCUGAGAGUUCAUGGGCACCGGAGUUAUGUAUGGGAUAGUUCUAGGUAAAGACUUAGGAUGCACUUCCUCUGGAACCCCAGUCACCUCUUUAGCUGAGUAACCACAAGUUUAAGCAUCACUACAUUUCUGUUUCAGUAAAAAUUUAAAGAAGUUUAGCUUUUUUUGGUAUAUCAUAGAAUUCAGAAGGAAGGUGAGGAAAAACUCUUAAUGAAAGACAGUGUCUUUGAACAGCUGCCAUAGAAUUGAGAAUAAGUGUAUCUUGUUAGAGACUUUCAUUGAUCAAUGAAAAUAACUCUUCACUAAUUUACUGAUUUCUUUUUUUUUAAAGGUAAAAUUAGUUAUAUAAGCAGACAAAAGGUUGGAGAAGGAUUUAUUUAUAUAUAUAUUUUAAAUUUUAUAUACCAAAUGUAUAUUUGAAAUACAUAUGAUUUAUUUAUGUUUGUUAUAUAAGUGUAUUUAUACUUUGCAUAUUUAUUAUAUUAUAUAUGUAUUUCUAUUACCAAAAGACUGACAGC